UGCAACCUCAGCCCCAGGAUCCCCAGGUGGCCCCAUUCAGGGAUCAGGACAGAGCACAGGCAACUCACCAUGGCAUCUGUGCUCAGCUGGGUUUUUCUUGUCGCUAUUGUAAAAGGUGUCCAGGGUGAGGUGCAGAUGGUGGAGUCUGGGGGAGACCUGGUGAAGCCUGGGGGAUCCCUGAGACUCUCCUGUGUGGCCUCUGGAUUCACCUUCAGUAACUACGAAAUGUACUGGGUCCACCAGGCUCCAGGGAAAGGGCUGGAGUGGGUCGCAAGGAUUUAUGAGAGUGGAAGUACCACAUACUACGCAGAAGCUGUAAAGGGCCGAUUCACCAUCUCCAGAGACAACGCCAAGAACAUGGUGUAUCUGCAGAUGAACAGCCUGAGAGCCUAGGACACGGCCGUGUAUUACUGUGCGAG